rnacentral:rRNA from 1 species
CCANUCUAGAGUAUCGGAGAGGAAAGUGGAAUUCCUAGUGUAGCGGUGAAAUGCGUAGAUAUUAGGAAGANCACCAGUGGCGAAGGCGACUUUCUGGACGAAAACUGACGCUGAGGCGCGAAAGCCAGGGGAGCGAACGGGGUUAGAUACCCCGGUAGUCCUGGCUGUAAACGAUGGGUACUAGGUGUAGGAGGUAUCGACCCCUUCUGUGCCGGAGUUAACGCAAUAAGUACCCCACCUGGGGAGUACGACCGCAAGGUUGAAACCCAAAGGAAUUGACGGGGGCCCGCACAAGCGGUGGAGUAUGUGGUUUAAUUCGACGCAACGCGAAGAACCUUACCAGGUCUUGACAUUGAUGGACAGAACCAGAGAUGGUUCCUCUUCUUCGGAAGCCAGAAAACAGGUGGUGCACGGUUGUCGUCAGCUCGUGUCGUGAGAUGUUGGGUUAAGUCCCGCAACGAGCGCAACCCCUAUCUUAUGUUGCCAGCACUUUGGGUGGGGACUCAUGAGAGACUGCCGCAGACAAUGCGGAGGAAGGCGGGGAUGACGUCAAAUCAUCAUGCCCCUUAUGACCUGGGCUACACACGUACUACAAUGGGAGUUAAUAGACGGAAGCGAGAUCGCGAGAUGGAGCAAACCCGAGAAACACUCUCUCAGUUCGGAUCGUAGGCUGCAACUCGCCUACGUGAAGUCGGAAUCGCUAGUAAUCGCAGGUCAGCAUACUGCGGUGAAUACGUUCCCGGGCCUUGUACACACCGCCCGUCACACCACGAAAGUCGGAAGUGCCCAAAGCCG